AUUGAACGCUGGCGGAAUGCUUUACACAUGCAAGUCGAACGGCAGCACGGGGGCAACCCUGGUGGCGAGUGGCGAACGGGUGAGUAAUGUAUCGGAACGUGCCCAGUCGUGGGGGAUAACGUAGUGAAAAUUACGCUAAUACCGCAUACGAUCUAAGGAUGAAAGCGGGGGAUCGCAAGACCUCGCGCGAUUGGAACGGCCGAUAUCAGAUUAGGUAGUUGGUGGGGUAAAGGCUCACCAAGCCAACGAUCUGUAGCUGGUCUGAGAGGACGACCAGCCACACUGGAACUGAGACACGGUCCAGACUCCUACGGGAGGCAGCAGUGGGGAAUUUUGGACAAUGGACGCAAGUCUGAUCCAGCCAUUCCGCGUGCAGGAUGAAGGCCCUCGGGUUGUAAACUGCUUCUGUACGGAACGAAAAGGUCUCUCUUAAUACGGGGGACUCAUGACGGUACCGUAAGAAUAAGCACCGGCUAACUACGUGCCAGCAGCCGCCGUAA
rnacentral:rRNA from 1 species